AGGCGCGUAGCUCAUCUGGUUAGAGCGCUUCCUUGACAUGGAAGAGGUAGUUGGUUCGAAUCCAAUCGUGCCUACCA
rnacentral:tRNA from 5 species